GGCGAGUGAAGCGGCAAGAGCUCAAAUUUGAAAUCUGGCCCCCUCGGGGUCCGAGUUGUAAUUUGCAGAGGAUGCUUCGGGUGCGGCCCCCGUCUAAGUGCCCUGGAACGGGCCGUCAUAGAGGGUGAGAAUCCCGUCUGGGACGGGGUGUCCGCGUCCGUGUGAAGCUCCUUCGACGAGUCGAGUUGUUUGGGAAUGCAGCUCUAAAUGGGUGGUAAAUUUCAUCUAAAGCUAAAUACUGGCCGGAGACCGAUAGCGCACAAGUAGAGUGAUCGAAAGAUGAAAAGCACUUUGAAAAGAGAGUUAAAAAGCACGUGAAAUUGUUGAAAGGGAAGCGCUUGCGACCAGACUCGCCCGCGGGGUUCAGCCGGCAUUCGUGCCGGUGUACUUCCCCGUGGGCGGGCCAGCGUCGGUUUGGGCGGCCGGUCAAAGGCCUCCGGAAUGUAGCACCCUUCGGGGUGCCUUAUAGCCGGGGGUGCAAUGCGGCCAGCCUGGACCGAGGAACGCGCUUCGGCACGGACGCUGGCAUAAUGGUCGUAAACGACCC
rnacentral:rRNA from 1 species